rnacentral:rRNA from 1 species
GAUGAACGCUGACAGAAUGCUUAACACAUGCAAGUCAACUUGAACUUCGGUUUGGGUGGCGGACGGGUGAGUAACGCGUAAAGAACUUGCCUCACAGCUAGGGACAACAUUUGGAAACGAAUGCUAAUACCUGAUAUUAUGAUUUUAGGGCAUCCUAGAAUUAUGAAAGCUAUAUGCGCUGUGAGAGAGCUUUGCGUCCCAUUAGCUAGUUGGAGAGGUAACGGCUCACCAAGGCGAUGAUGGGUAGCCGGCCUGAGAGGGUGAACGGCCACAAGGGGACUGAGACACGGCCCUUACUCCUACGGGAGGCAGCAGUGGGGAAUAUUGGACAACGGACCAAGAGUCUGAUCCAGCAAUUCUGUGUGCACGAUGAAGUUUUUCGGAAUGUAAAGUGCUUUCAGUUGGGAAGAAAAAAAUGACGGUACCAACAGAAGAAGUGACGGCUAAAUACGUG